GCUUACCAACUCUGUUUUUUCUAGAAGUUUUAGGGUUCCAGCAAGGACUUCCAAUAUUAUAUUGAAUAAAAGUAGUGAGAGUAUUAGUGUAAUGUCAGCCUUGCAAG